GUCUACAGUCAUACCACCCUGAAUGUGCCCGAUCUCCUCUGAUGUCUGAAGCUAAGCAGGGUCCGGCCUGGUUAGUACUUGGAUGGGAGAUG
rnacentral:rRNA from 1 species